GUUAAUCUUUCGGAUCGAAUUAACGCCAUCUCUUGAUUGGAAUGGGAACUAAAUUGACAAAUUUUAGUUACGUGGGAAUUUCAACUUAUAAAUUUUGCGGGAUUUUUGAUGAAAUUUCGCAGGAAAUUAAAACAACAGAAAGACAAUUCAAUGUUUUAUUCAAUAUUUUACUGAAAACUUCAAAUAUUCCAAUUGGUUUUCAAAAUGCUAAACACUACUGCCAUGUGUCACGUGAAAGCACUGAUGUGUAAUAUUGAGUUGAAUGAAAAUUUUUGAAAAAAUCUUGUAGGAUGAUUGUUUAGAUAAAUAUUACCUUAUAAUCUUUUACAAACUUCUAAAAAUAUAUAGGCCAGAAAUGUUGAUGACACACUUGUCUAUUGGAAUAAACUGUUUCAGGAUCUAUUAUAUUGUUUUUUUUAAAUGUGGAGAAACACAACACGGGAUGAUCAAUUGUAAACUAAAAAUUCUACUCAUAAAAACGGAUGGUUAAUACAAUUGAUUAAUAUUGUGAUUAAAUCUAAUUAUAAACGUAACACCACUAUAAUAAAAUAAUUAAACCACAAACUGUAAAAUAAAAAGUAAAUAACAAAUUAAUUUAAUUGUCAACUGUCAGUUGUUAAAUAUGACAAGAAAAUUGACUGACAGCGACAUCUCUGGAUUGGAAUGGUAACUAAUUUGCUGUCUUGACCUUGACAAUUUACGUGAAACGUCUAUGAGUAUGUAUGGUUUGUGGAUAAAUGUAUUGGCAUACUGACAAUGAUGACAAUUGACAAAUUAUAAUGACACUCAGACUCAGUGAUAUAGAAGAAAUCUUUACUCCAGGUGCAUGGCGACAUCUUAAAAAACGUAUCAUUACUAAAAAUGACAUUUAGUUUAGUAUGACCUUGAGAUACCUGCGUGAAACAUCUAAAGAGAUUUAAGUGAUCUGUGGUUCGGAGAUUGACAAGAGUGGUGUGUGGCAAAUUUAUAUCAAGGUUUGGAGGUUAGCAAUACCUCGUGAUAGUUAAAUUGUUGGAAAUAUGCAUUUCGAAAUGUGGUUCACUAAUUAUUGUAUACAGGAGUGUUUAGAAGAAAUCAAUAGGGCUUUUCAUUCACAGUCAUUUGUUUCGAGCUUCUGUCAUAUGUCGUAUAAUCCGUGUAUAUUAAUAUUAUACACAGAUUAUAUAACAUAUGACAGAAGCUCGAAACAAAUGACAAUCGAUGAAAAGCCCUAUCCAAUCGGGUUUUUUGCAUAGAACGUCGCCACAGUCAUGGUAAAUUAUUUUUUUAUAACUGUCAGCAGCCAUUUCAUUGUGACAUAUAUAAUUUUUCAAUUAAAUCUUAUGUGUAAAUUUAUUCAGUGAAUUUAGUAGCCACUCACGUGAAAACUUAAAACAUCUCACAACACCGAGAGCCAACCAUUAGUCACUUGGGAAAACAAGUUUUUGGAACGUCCCAGCUCCUUUUCGUUUUUGCACCUGGGCCUACAGGAGGCAUGGUUUUGCACCAUCCUGGUGCUCAUUUCCGGGGAUGCAGCAGCAACCUUUUAGGAGUCGUUUGGGUUUGUUUGAGAACAAUCAGUCUUGUGAAGUUGAGUAACUAUUGUGUUUUAUAUCUCAGACAUUUAUCGGAUGCACUAUGUUUACUAAUUACUUUGUUUAAGAUUUAGCUUGCAUUUAUUUGGUUUUUUAUAUAGGUACAUAUAAGUUUAGUAAGUUCUAAAACAUGUAUAAUUUUGCGGUACUGUACGUUGAGGUCGGCGUAUCUGCCAAAAAGGUAUUACUUUUUAUAUUUUAUUGUUAAUUUAGGUCGAUUUUAUGUCAUUAUGUAAAUUUAGUUUAUAUUAGUUGCUUGAUUCCCAGAUAUUUCGUUGUUCAUUUGCUCUUCUUCAUUUGUUCUAUUAUUUAAGGUCGUUGUUUAGGUAUUUAUCUUAACUUCAAUUAUUUAUUUCACAUUCAUUUGUAUAUUUAACUUUGCUUAACUCAUUUUCUUGUAUUUUCUUUAGUCAUGCUUAUGCCUGCUGAUUUAUACAUAUUUCAUAUUUGUCCGAUUUUAAUUUAGUUGUACGUAGCAAGCGUACUAUAACCAUUUGGUAAAAGUCUCAUGUGAGUUGCAUCCUAUAUGUAAGUAAGAGGUAUGUAAUAAUUUUGUAACUGGUAACAUUAUUGUUGUUAUCUUAGAUAUAGCUUUUGUAUAACAUAUGUCAUUUUAGAGUCACUUAAUAAUUCAAUUUGGUUUAACUCAGAGAUUGUCAAACAUCUAGUAGUUAUUUUUAAUAAAUAUUUAUUUAUUUUGUA